GAUGAACGCUGGCGGCGUGCCUAAUACAUGCAAGUCGAGCGAACAGACGAGGAGCUUGCUCCUCUGACGUUAGCGGCGGACGGGUGAGUAACGCGUGGAUAACCUACCUAUAAGACUGGGAUAACUUCGGGAAACCGGAGCUAAUACCGGAUAAUAUAUUGAACCGCAGGGUUCAAUGGUGAAAGACGGUUUUGCUGUCACUUAUAGAUGGAUUCGGCCCGGAUUAGCGAGUUGGUAAGGUAACGGCUAACCCAGGCAACGAUUCCUAACCGAGCGGAGAGGGGGGUCAGCCACACUGGAACUGAGACACGGUCCAGACUCCUACGGGAGGCAGCAGUAGGGAAUCUUCCGCAAUGGGCGAAAGCCUGACGGAGCAACGCCGCGUGAGUGAUGAAGGUCUUCGGAUCGUAAAACUCUGUUGUUAGGGAAGAACAAAUGUGUAAGUAACUAUGCACGUCUUGACGGUACCUAAUCAGAAAGCCCCGGCUAACUACGUG
rnacentral:rRNA from 1 species